GACGAACGCUGGCGGCGUGCUUAACACAUGCAAGUCGAACGGAAAGGCCCUGCUUUUGUGGGGUGCUCGAGUGGCGAACGGGUGAGUAACACGUGAGUAACCUGCCCUUGACUUGGGGAUAACUUCAGGAAACUGGGGCUAAUACCGGUUAGGAGCUCCUGCGGCAGGGUGGGGGUUGGAAAGUUUCGGCGGUUGGGGAUGGACUCGCGGCUUAUCAGCUUGUUGGUGGGGUAGUGGCUUACCAAGGCUUUGACGGGUAGCCGGCCUGAGAGGGUGACCGGCCACAUUGGGACUGAGAUACGGCCCAGACUCCUACGGGAGGCAGCAGUGGGGAAUAUUGCACAAUGGGCGGAAGCCUGAUGCAGCAACGCCGCGUGCGGGAUGACGGCCUUCGGGUUGUAAACCGCUUUCGCCUGUGACGAAGCGUGAGUGACGGUAAUGGGUAAAGAAGCACCGGCUAACUACGUG
rnacentral:rRNA from 1 species